rnacentral:pre_miRNA from 1 species
GAUAUACUCCCUCCGUCCGGAAAUACUUGUCGGAGAAAUGGAUGUAUCUAGACGUAUUUUAGUUCUAGAUGCAUCAAUUUCUAUCCAUUUAUGCGACAAGUAUUUCCGGACUGAGGGAGUACUAU